rnacentral:rRNA from 1 species
UACGGGGGGGGUAAGCGUUGUUCGGAAUUACUGGGCGUAAAGGGCUCGUAGGCGGCCAACUAAGUCAUACGUGAAAUCCCUCAGCUUAACUGGGGAACUGCGUGUGAUACUGGAUGGCUUGGAUUUGGGAGAGGGAUGCGGAAUUCCAGGUGUAGCGGUGAAAUGCGUAGAUAUCUGGAGGAACACCGGUGGCGAAGGCGGCAUCCUGGACCGGCAUUGACGCUGAGGAGCGAAAGCCAGGGGAGCAAAGCGGG